AGCAGCCGCGGUAAUUCCAGCUCCAAUAGCGUAUAUUAAAGUUGUUGCAGUUAAAAAGCUCGUAGUUGAAUUUCGGGAUUGGCGCAUCGGUCGUGCCUCACGGGGUAUGAACUGGUGCAGUCAAUUUCUCACCUUCUGGAGAACCGCGAUGUCCUUAAUUGGAUGCCGCGGGGAACCAGGACCUUUACUUUGAAAAAUUAGAGUGUUUAAAGCAGGCAUUUUUGCUUGAAUACAUUAGCAUGGAAUAAUAAAAUAGGACGGCAUGGUUCUAUUUUGUUGGUUUCUAGGACCACCGUAAUGAUUAAUAGGGAUAGUUGGGGGCAUUAGUAUUCAAUUGUCAGAGGUGAAAUUCUUGGAUUUAUUGAAGACUAACUACUGCAAAAGC
rnacentral:rRNA from 1 species